CCUCACCUGUCCUGUCCUUCGGACUCCCUAACUUCUGGAAGGAUUUAGGGGGACAAUGAAGUAUCCCCCUUGCAGGAGAACCUCCCCUGGCUCUGGGGCUACUGGGUUAUUGCCAUGAUCACAAGACCCAGGCAUAGAGCCAGUCUCCCCACACGUGGGAUGGCACAUGCAGCACUUGUGGGUUCUCUGACAGAGCCUGCUCUAGGCUGCACAGUUCCUCUUGCCCUUGCUGCUGAAGCUCCUGGCUGGUGUGAGCAGUGAAGACACAGGGUGCCUCAGGCCCAGAGCCCGGAACAGCUUGAACACUCGAGGAAGAGAUGCGUCCUGCAAGAUGGUCCAUCUCAAGAUGCAAACCCUACUUGCCAUCCCUGAAGGCCUCCUCUGCCUGGCAGCAAUUACUCCACAAGUUUCCAGAGGCUCCUUACUACCUUUUCAAAGUGUACAAAGCAUCAAACCCUGUGCCCAACUCCUCUGGCUCAGGAACAAGAUAAAAAGGAGCUGACAUUCAGAGAGGUGCCCACAGUACCUGGGUGCCUCCUACAUCCUCCACCACAGGGAACCCAUUGUGAUUAGAUGCUGUGUCACUGAGGACGUCCACGAUGAUGCCGACCUUCUCUCUCCUCCUCAGGCAGGUCACAGGUGUGCUCAUUACUUCCCUACCAAGAUGCACAACCCAAGCUGUUGCAAGACCCUUAAGCCCCAGUGCCCGGCUACAAGGACAAUAUCCAGGGUGAGCAGAGGACAGACCACCCCCUCAUGUCGUGCACCUCAAUGAAGACGUCACCCACAAUCUUGGCAGUCAUCAGCACCAGCAUGAUGGGAAAGCCGUAGGUCACGUUGCUGGUGGCCUCCAUCAUGAUGACUGUCAGGCUGAGCGUCAUUCUCACGAUCCCACCUGUGGGGGAAGCAGAAGCCUAUCCCUCUAAACACAGGGUUCCCAGCUCUGCUCUAUCUGCAGCCUUUCUUCCUUUCUUUCUUUCUUU